GCGGUGGGGUCUCCGCUAUGGCGACACAGGGGCAAAGUCACCAGGGCUGACCUCUCUGUGGGCCCCAUCCCUGAGAGAUGUGGGGCACCUACACUUUCUUUCCCACUGGCAUCCAGGUGACAGGGUCACAGAAGAGGACCUGUUAUCCCUUGCUACUGGCCCACAGAACUCAGCAACCCAGAGUGGACACCCAAGGCCAUGGCACGCCACGGUGUCAGGAUGUGGGGGGCUGGCAGUGCCACGAUCACCACCUCCAGGUGGCACAGUCCUGCAUCAGACAGCCAGGAGAUGCACUGAAAUGCAGCCUCUGGGGUCUACCUCAGACGCCCCCACCAGAGACCCUGUGGCCGGUGCGGGGGGCCGAAGUUCCCAGGUGACAUCCAGUGUCCCUCUGAGGACCUCUGAGGGGAACUUCUAGGAAGAAACAGAACGGAGGAUCCCUCUGCUGUGCCACAUGACUGCUCUGGACUGUGAGCCCCUGGAGGGCGGAGGGUCUCACUGUGGAGUCUAGGCUGGCCUCAAACUGUGGCAAUUCUCCUGCCUCAGCCUUCUGAUUGCUGGGAUUACAGCUCAGCUGUGGGGAAGCAGCUGGAAGGCACUGCUCCAGGCUCUCCGGGCUGCUGAGGCCCUGCACAUGCUGUUCCCCACGGGGACGCCCUUCCAGCCCUCGCCAUUCCACCUUCAAACUCUGUGGGGCUGGGCUUAGGCCCCUCUCCUGUCUUUAUUUAAAAUGUCAAUAUUUAUUUUGUGUGACAGAAUUUUUAGCUUUAAUUUUGAUUUUUACAAAAAUUGUAUUAAAUAUUAUCGUGAUUAUUGGGGUUUUGAGCCUCCUUCAGAUUUUCACCCAAGAGCCUCACCCGCCUGGGCCUGUCCUGGUGCUGUCACCUCCCAGGGACGGUGGAUUGGUCCAUGGGCCCUGGCGCUACCUCUGCAGCACCCAGGCCCCGUCACUCCCCAGUUCCCUAUGCCCACCCCGUGUCCUCCCUACACCUGGCAGGGCAGCCUGCAUGGGGCACAAUUCCUACAAACCUUAAAAUAUCAACAAAUAGAAUAAACUCUGAGAAAAGCUUAAAAUGUUCCCUAUAAGCCAGUCCAGGUGGUGCACACCUGUAUCUCAGCACUCCUAGGAGCCGAGGCAGGAGGAUCCCAAGUUUGAGCCCAGCCUGAGCAACUUAGUGAGACGCUGUCUCCAAAUAAAAUAAAAAGGGCUGGGAUGUAGCUCAGAGUGAAGGCCGGGGGCGGGGGACUGUGGAGUUUCCUCUAAGUGCAAGGUCACCUGCAACUCGGUUAUUAACUCCCAAGCCAGGGCCAAGUUUCUUUCUGCUUCAACUCCAUCAAUCCACAGAGCCGCACCACGGACCCUGCUAGCAGCACCUGGGUCUUAACCUUAAUGGCUCCUCGCUGUCCCCAGGCCCCUCCCAGCCCCUCACCAGCCAGAUCUGCCCUGGGUCCUCUGGGUCCAGAAUCUGCACAGACCCAGGGCCGUUCCUUCCAGCACAGGGCAAGGCAGUGGGUGAAGGUGAAGGACACCUUUGGGAGCCAGGUGAGAUGCGACUCCAUCUCUUCCUGGCUCAUCGUCCCCUCUCUGAGCCUUAAUGUUUUCUCUAUAAAAUGGGGAUAUGCAGGGGCUAAUACAAAUACAGGGCUGGGUGUGGUGGUGCAGGCCUGUAACUGGGAGGCUGAGGCAGGAGGGUCACCAAGAGCUCCCCUUGCCCUCCUCUUUUCUCCUUCCCAUCAUUUCCUUUGAGCAGGCGUCUGGGUCCGCAGGGGCUGCAGAGAACCAGCGCACUGCCUUCUGUCUUCACCUAAGGGGAAAGGGCUUGCAGAUCCAGGCGCGAUGUACCGGAAAAGGCUGAGGACUUUCUGCAUUUGGCAUCGGCCAAGACCCUGGGCUCAAGUGGCACAGAAGCCUUGGGGACCGAGAACAGCACGGCCGCACAGGGAGCCAAUGCCACGGGGGCCUGAGAGUUGGGGUCAGGGUAGAGGAGCCCAUGUCUGAGUGUGGCCUGGGUUAAAGAAGCCCCCACAGGUCCCAUGAGGGUCACCGUUCAGCUCAACCAAGAUGCCAUAAAAUGCCUGGCACCCAAGGGACAUCAAUUUCCCCCCAGAGCCUGCCAUGGGCAGCACCAGGGUCAGAGCCACGGGACGUCCAUGCUUCCUGACAGCCCUGAGUCUCACAGCAGCAAGCUAAGUCCCAGUGCCCG